AAAGGAGGAAUUCAAAGGGAUAGCUUGAUCCCAAUUCAAUAUCUAACUAAAUAUUGGCUGCAACAUUAAUAGAGUUGAGAUCAAUGCGAUCCCUUUGGAUGCCUCCUU
rnacentral:pre_miRNA from 1 species